GGCACUUUGGCCGAGUGGUCUAAGGCGCCGUGUUCAGGUCAUUCAGAUGGAGUCUCGACUCCACUCAGGAUCCUUGAUUCGCGGUCUAGUAAUAGGCGAGGGUUCGAAUCCCUCAGGUGUCA
rnacentral:tRNA from 1 species